UGGGGAAUUUUGGACAAUGGGGGAAACCCUGAUCCAGCCAUCCCGCGUGUGCGAUGAAGGCCUUCGGGUUGUAAAGCACUUUUGGCAGGAAAGAAACGUCGCGGGUUAAUACCCCGCGAAACUGACGGUACCUGCAGAAUAAGCACCGGCUAACUACGUGCCAGCAGCCGCGGUAAUACGUAGGGUGCAAGCGUUAAUCGGAAUUACUGGGCGUAAAGCGUGCGCAGGCGGUUCGGAAAGAAAGAUGUGAAAUCCCAGAGCUUAACUUUGGAACUGCAUUUUUAACUACCGGGCUGGAGUGUGUCAGAGGGAGGUGGAAUUCCGCGUGUAGCAGUGAAAUGCGUAGAUAUGCGGAGGAACACCGAUGGCGAAGGCAGCCUCCUGGGAUAACACUGACGCUCAUGCACGAAAGCGUGGGGAGCAAACAGGAUUAGAUACCCUGGUAGUCCACGCCCUAAACGAUGUCAACUAGCUGUUGGGGCCUUCGGGCCUUGGUAGCGCAGCUAACGCGUGAAGUUGACCGCCUGGGGAGUACGGUCGCAAGAUUAAAACUCAAAUGAAUUGACGGGGUCGAUAC
rnacentral:rRNA from 1 species